rnacentral:rRNA from 1 species
UGUGUAGGCGGUUGUCUAAGUUUGGUGUGAAAUCUCCCGGCUCAACUGGGAGGGUGCGCCGAAUACUGAAUGACUUCGAGUACGGGAGAGGAAAGUGGAAUUCCUGGUGUAGCGGUGAAAUGCGUAGAUAUCAGGAGGAACACCGGUGGUGUAGACGGCUUUCUGGACCGUAACUGACGCUGAGACACGAAAGCGUGGGUAGCAAACAGGAUUAGAUACCCUGGUAGUCCACGCCCUAAACGAUGCAUAUUUGGUGUGGGCAGUUCAUUCUGUCUGUGCCGGAGCUAACGCGUUAAAUAUGCCGCCUGGGGAUACAGUCGCAAGGCUAGAA